CGGGAAGUAGCGUAGUCUGGUUAGCGCGCCUGCCUUGGGAGCAGGAGGUCGGAGGUUCAAAUCCUCUUUUCCCGA
rnacentral:tRNA from 1 species